AGUACCUUUAGAAAUUUUUCAAUUUGCUUCUCUACUUUACAUCUAAAUUCUUUAAACUUUUCAAAAAUUUUAGAUUUGUAUCUCAUAUACUUAUCCAUACCAUGACUGAUCAUCAGUAAAGGUAACGAAAUAGAGAUAAUUUUUUUUGUUAGCACAUCAUAUGGGCUACACACAUCAAAUAUGUCCUAGGAUAAGUAUCUCAAUGCUCGUUUUUCUCAUCCCAUAAGAGUAGCUUGGUCAUAUUUUCUCAAAAAGAUGAUACACAAACUAGAUAUGACUU
rnacentral:lncRNA from 1 species